rnacentral:rRNA from 1 species
GACGAACGCUGGCGGCGUGCCUAAUACAUGCAAGUAGAACGCACAGUUUAUACCGUAGCUUGCUACACCAUAAACUGUGAGUUGCGAACGGGUGAGUAACGCGUGGGUAACCUGCCUGGUAGCGGGGGAUAACUAUUGGAAACGAUAGCUAAUACCGCAUAAUAUUGAUUAUUGCAUGAUAAUUGAUUGAAAGAUGCUAUUGCAUCACUACCAGAUGGACCUGCGUUGUAUUAGCUAGUAGGUGAGGUAACGGCUCACCUAGGCGACGAUACAUAGCCGACCUGAGAGGGUGAUCGGCCACACUGGGACUGAGACACGGCCCAGACUCCUACGGGAGGCAGCAGUAGGGAAUCUUCGGCAAUGGAAGAAAGUCUGACCGAGCAACGCCGCGUGAGUGAAGAAGGUUUUCGGAUCGUAAAGCUCUGUUGUAAGAGAAGAACGGGUGUGAGAGUGGAAAGUUCACACUGUGACGGUAUCUUAACAGAAAGGGACGGCUAACUACGUG